AUUGAACGCUGGCGGCAGGCCUAACACAUGCAAGUCGAACGAGUGGCGGACGGGUGAGUAAUGUCUGGGAAACUGCCUGAUGGAGGGGGAUAACUACUGGAAACGGUAGCUAAUACCGCAUACCAUCGGAUGUGCCCAGAUGGGAUUAGCUUGUUGGUGGGGUAAAGGCUCACCCAGGCGACGAUCCCGAGCGGGUCGGAGAUGAGGACCAGCCACACGGGAAAUGAGACACGGUCCAGACUCCGACGGGAGGCAGCAGUGGGUAAUAUUGCACAAUGGGCGCAAGCCGGAUGCAGCCAUGCCGCGUGUAUGAAGAAGGCCUUCGGGUUGUAAAGUACUUUCAGCGGGGAGGCGUUACCCGCAGAAGAAGCACCGGCUAACUCCGUGCCAGCAGCCGCGGUAAUAC
rnacentral:rRNA from 1 species